ACUUUGUAUUUUUAUUCCCUGCCUAAUAAAGGGUUGUUUUUUAAGGAAGAAAAUGAUGAUGCACUCUAGUAUAUAUGUCAUCUUUGAAUAUAUUACUGACAGCAAAUAUAUUUCCAGGUUUGUGUCACUGAAGUGAUGCAGCAGUGACUGAUUGUAAAGUAUCUACCAGAAGAACGUACUAUGGACAGUCUGUGUUGACGAAGUGAAAGAUUAGUAACUGACUACAUGUGGACUUUCAACAGGUUGAAGAGCAGCUUCUAGCUGGGUGACUGAGCUGUUAACUUUAGCUUUAUAAAGUCGAAGGGACGAUCCAGGCUGGUUGAGCACAUCACCCCCCUCCCAUACUGUGUAAGCUGUUACAACUGGUUUUUCCUAUCUUUCCUCUACCUUAUUCUUCUCUUAAAGCUACUUAAAUCCCUUUUUUGUAUCUUCUGUUUCCUCAGUACAAGUGCUCCUUGACAUUCAUUCCAACAAACCCAUCAUCAGUCGAACAUGAUAUACAGUAAACCUUCGUUUAACAUGGUAGUUAUGUUCCUGAAAAUGCCGUGGUAGUUAAAACUGUUAGACAAACUGAAGAACUUGGGAAAAAUAGGGUUAUGUUCCUGGGAGCCCCCAAAAAGCCAAGCAACUUUUAGACCAACAGAUCUUACAAAAAUAAAAGUGAAUAUGUAAUUGUUCAUCGUCAUGAUGUAUUAUGUUCUUACUGCUUAAGAUUACAAAUGCCGCAGAAAUAAUAGUACGUAUUUACCUAUAAUUGUGGGUGCUGGUGUUUGUGGAGAGUUAUGGUGUGAUCCUACUGGACUGAGAGAAUAACAGAGCGGCUAAAAGAGGCCAAUAUAUCUGAAAUGCGUAGGGAGUCACUGGUCAGAGAAAUAGCAAACAUCGAACUUAAGCUAAAGGAAUCUUAUAGGAGUCAGGAAUUGCGGGAAGAACUAAAAGCCAUAAAUGAAAUUAAAAGAAAUCCAAAAUAUUUCUUAUGCCAAAUCAAAGUCGAGAACAACAUCCAGUAUUGGGCCCCUACUUGAACAAGAUGGGUCCUACACAGAUGACAGCAAGGAAAUGAGUGAGCUACUCAAGUCCCAAUAGGACUCAGUUUUUAGCAAGCCGCUAACCAGACAGAGUCAAAGAUCAAAAUGAAUUUUUUAUGAGAGAGCCACAGAAUUUGGUAAACACAAGCCUAUCUGAUGUUAUCCUGAUGCCAAAUGACUUCAAACAGGCUAUAAAUGACAUGCCCAUGCACUCUGCCCCAGGGCCAGACUCGUGGAACUCUGUGUUCAUCAAGAACUGCAAGAAGCCCCCCUCUUCAAGGGGGGCUCCUUGGCAUGGUGAAGAGGCUCUUGGUCUGAGGAAUUAGACCUGUCGGUCUCCUUCCUCAGACCGAACCUAAUUACCCCCCAAUCCCCCGUUCCCUAUCCCAUCCUCCCCUUUUCCUUUCCUCCUCCUCCUCCCCACCCCUCCCUUUUGCCCUUCCUUUUUGGCCUUUGGGAUUUUUUUUUCCCAUAGGCACGCUAGUUCCUAGGUAGGGGAAAGGGUACCGGGGUCCAUUCCAUUCCGUUGAGGUUCUUGGCGGUGGCGUAGUUUGCCGUGGAAUCUGGAUUGCCUGGGGAUGUCCCGAUCCCUCUCCGGUAUUCUGGAGGGUGGCUUUGGGUCUCUCUCGGGCGAUGGGUGUAUCUCUGGAAGCCACCUUUCGGAUUCCGGGGGUGGUGGCUGAAGGAGGUAUGCUUUGUGGCGGAUUUCCGGCCGCCCUCUCUUGUCCACCGAGGUAGCUCCGCAGAUGUGAGGUUGCUAUCCCAGAUUGCCGGUUUACUGGCAUGAUGGGUAGGGUAUGGCACGGAUUCCAUGCUGCAUCUGCGCUACUUGCGGUGCUGAGGCCCUCUUGGGCGCGGAGGGAGAUUUCUGGCCCUUUCAUUCCUCCUAGGAACUAUCCCUCCCCGGUCCCCCCCUUUUUUUAUUCUUUUUUUAUUUUUAUUUUCUUUUCUUCUUUCUUUUUUUUCUUAAAAAUAAAAAGAAAGAAGUAAACUAACCAUGGCAGCCCUAGUCCAUGAACCUGCUACCCCUGGGCCCCUUCUUGAUACCGCACCCCGUUCUGACCCCGCCUCGUCUUUGAACCACUCUUCGGACACUCCUCAUGCCUCUGUACCUCUUGCCGGUGUUGGUGUUGUUUCCUCACCCGCUUCAAGUACUGAGGCCUCAACUGACUCCUUUGAUUUAUCUGACCUUCGCUCUCCUCUGACUAUGCUUCCGGCCUCUCCCUCUACGUUGCGGCAAUUUUUGAAUCGCCGACCCGUUCCACGUCCGACCAACUCUGGUCCCACGCCUAAACGCCAACGACAAUUACCUGCUGAUGAUACUUCUCCACCUUCUCGUUCUUCUCAGAAAAGAUUGACACGUCCUUCACUACCUUUCCACGCUCAGUUUCAGACUGCACAAUGGACUAAAUUCUUCACUUUACGACCGACUUCCUCUACUGCCUAUCUUUCUGACCACAGUAUUGGCAAGGCACUCCUAUGCCAUGUUGGUAAAGAUAUUUCUUUUCAUGCUCUUAAGAGUGGUAUGCGCAUCAUCACCGUACAGAAUGCUAC